AGCUCCAAUAGCGUAUAUUAAAGUUGUUGCGGUUAAAAAGCUCGUAGUUGGAUUUCUGCUGAGGACGACCGGUCCGCCCUCCGGGUGAGCAUCUGGCUCGGCCUGAGCAUCUUCCUGGAGAAUGCUGCUGCACUUCACUGUGUGGCGCGGUAUCCAGGACUUUUACUUUGAGGAAAUUAGAGUGCUUCAAGCAGGCACACGCCUUGAACACGUGAGCAUGGAAUAAUGUGAUAGGACCUCGGUUCUAUUUUGUUGGUUUCUAGAACUGAGGUAAUGAUAAAUAGGGACAGUUGGGGGCAUUCGUAUUUAACUGUCAGAGGUGAAAUUCUUGGAUUUGUUAAAGACGGACCACUGCGAAAGCAUUUGCCACGGAUGUCUUCA
rnacentral:rRNA from 1 species